UGUCAAAUAUGGAAACAAACGGACUUCCCCUAAAAACCAAUUAUCUACUGCCCAAAAUUCUCCCGCCCAAAAACCAAAUUUUUUUCCACUGAAUCGCAGAAUCUCUCUACAACGCUGAUUCAUUCUAAAUCCAACUUCACGGCUCAAGGUGCUCUCUACAACGCUGAUUGUUGUCAAACACUGAUUUUGGUGGGAGAAAAGCUUUGGUUUCGUGGAGCUGUUGCAUUUUUGUUACUUUUUGGAUUUUAUGUUGGAGAGAAGUAGAAGAAUUUCUUAAAAUGCUAUUUAAGAUGAGGAUGAUUUCUGUUCCCUUUGUUAUUCAGAAACAUGCUGAUUUUGCAACCACGGGAAUGUUAUUGGCGAAGCGCUGUAUUCAUGCUACAGGAUCUUGCUACUCCAAUCAGCGAGACUACUACGAAGUUCUUGGUGUUCCUAAAAAUGCGAGCCAGGAUGAGAUAAAAAAGGCGUUUCAUGCCAUGAGUAUUUGAGCACUUAAUAUGCUUUUAAGUUAGGGAAUUACAUUUUAAUCAUAAGAAAUCCCUUACUGUAGUGUAAAACAUCUUCUGAUGGAUUGUUCUUUCUUUUCUGGCAUCUUGCAAUCACUGGUAGCUGUUCUUUAUGGGGUCAGUGGCUUAAUUUUUCCUUAGCUCUUUAAAAUAGGUGGCUUUAGUGUUUGGGUGAAAACUAUGUGGGCUAUUUUUACUUUUAGGAAUAGUUUUGCUUGUGGAAUCCUUAAUGGAACUUGGAAAGGCACACCGGAGAUGCAUCUAAUUUUACUAGUACUAUGAAUCUAGGGGUAUUUGAGGUUGGCAGCGUUGCCAGAUAUUUUUCUACCACUUAUGCCAUUGGGAAAUCAUGUCUG